GGCGAACGGGUGAGUAACACGUGGGUAAUCUGCCCUGCGCUCUGGGAUAAGCCUGGGAAACUGGGUCUAAUACUGGAUAUGACCUUUCUCCUUAUGGGGUUUGGUGGAAAGUUUUUCGGUGUAGGAUGAGCCCGCGGCCUAUCAGCUUGUUGGUGGGGUGAUGGCCUACCAAGGCGACGACGGGUAGCCGGCCUGAGAGGGUGAUCGGCCACAUUGGGACUGAGAUACGGCCCAG
rnacentral:rRNA from 1 species